UCUUCGGUGACUUAGGUGGUUAGAGCGUUCGCCUCAGAUGUGGGAGGUCGCAGGUUCAAACCCCGGUCUAGUCAU